rnacentral:rRNA from 1 species
GCCCUUGUAGUCAUAUGCUUGUCUCAAAGAUUAAGCCAUGCAUGUCUAAGUAUAAGCAAUUUAUACAGUGAAACUGCGAAUGGCUCAUUAAAUCAGUUAUCGUUUAUUUGAUAGUUCCUUUACUACAUGGUAUAACUGUGGUAAUUCUAGAGCUAAUACAUGCUUAAAAUCUCGACCCUUUGGAAGAGAUGUAUUUAUUAGAUAAAAAAUCAAUGUCUUCGGACUCUUUGAUGAUUCAUAAUAACUUUUCGAAUCGCAUGGCCUUGUGCUGGCGAUGGUUCAUUCAAAUUUCUGCCCUAUCAACUUUCGAUGGUAGGAUAGUGGCCUACCAUGGUUUCAACGGGUAACGGGGAAUAAGGGC